UACGUAGGGGGCAAGCGUUGUCCGGAAUCAUUGGGCGUAAAGCGCGCGUAGGCGGGUCGUUAAGUCCGCUGUGAAAGCCCGGGGCUCAACCCCGGGAGGCGGGUGGAUACUGUCGACCUCGAGUCCGGAAGAGGCGAGUGGAAUUCCUGGUGUAGCGGUGAAAUGCGCAGAUAUCAGGAGGAACACCAAUGGCGAAGGCAGCUCGCUGGGACGGUACUGACGCUGAGACGCGAAAGCGUGGGGAGCAAACAGG
rnacentral:rRNA from 1 species